GUCAGGUUGUUGUACUACAGGGGGAGCAGCCUCUGGUGCCUUGUUAUAGUGCAGCUGGAGCAGCCUGUGGUGCAGCAUUAUGGGCUGUGUAGCAGGGGUGAGGAUAUAGGGCAGCACACCCCUCUACAUUCCAGCAGUGAGGAACCAGAGUCUUUAUUACACGUCACAUGUUCUGUAUUCUCAUCCAUCACUAAGCAUGGACACGGACAGGAGUCACAGGACUGAGAGGAUAAUAAAUAUCACCAUGGAGAUCAUCUACCUGCUGACUGGAGAGGAUUACACAGUAGUGAAGAAGACAUCCAGUGAUUUUGAGACAUGCAGCAGCCGUCCCCGUGUGUCAGGAGGACUGAACAGGAACCGGAGCCCCAUCACGGUUCCUCAACCUUACUCACUGAUACAUGAGAGGCCCAAUGACCAGAAGAUCCUGGAACUCGCCAACAAGAUCAUUCAGCUGCUGACUGGAGAGGU